AAUAUAGCUAUCCCUGGAUCUUUAAUGCAAAGAUGAUAAGAAGAUUGGAAUACUGGAAUAAGAAUGCAAUUGAAGGCUCAAAACAACAACAGUAAUGGGAUAAUAGUAAUGAAUUCUGUAAAAGUCAAAACAAAGGGAAACAAUGCCAAAGUACAUAUUCCAGCAGGCAAGGCAUUUGCUUAUACUAAAGGCUGGACGGAUGAGAAAGUAGAAGGGGGUCAGUGCUCCUAAGGCAGAUUAAACUCUUGCCUUCCAUAUAUAUAUAUUUGGAAUAACGUGGGUAGCUAUGCAACCCAAGACUCAAAACAACAAUAGUGAUAAUAGUAAUAGAGAAGGGUUUUUUUUUAUCCUGGUGUAAUGACGGCCCACCAGUCAUUUGAGGACUCCUCCCAGACAAGAAAGGGUUAAGAUGGGGAGGGGGAAGGUACAUGCUAAGGAGAGCUUACAUCACAUGCUAAUCAGAAUUUACAUCACAGCUGAUGUAAGGCUCAACUGGCCAAUCAUUUGAGCAGGACCGGGAGAUUCAAGAAUGUUCCCAACAGAGGGUUUAAAAGGCCUCUGAGACCAUGCAGUCUGAGCCUUUUUCCUUUGUGUGGCCUGGUUGGGCCUUUGCCAAGAGGCAGGCUUAAGGGAUGCGGGUCAAGCUAGGCAAUGGGGGCCAGCUCCUUGCAUCCAAAAAACCACCCAGGACUGCUGAUCCCUUCUCAGUCAGACUGAAAAAAUGGGUUGAGGCGCCUGCCUUGACAAAACAGCGCUGGAUCUCUAUGGAAAGCACUUUACUGGCAUGAACACCAGGCUUUACUGAGAGUGAGUUCUUGUGCCUGUGGUUGUGCAAGAGAGAAGCCAUGCUCCAAUUUCUCUUGAUAAGAGCAUGUGUUUGGAAGAAAAUAAACGCACUUGCAGAUUUCUGAAGUGAGCAGCUGUGUUUCAAGAUGGACUGAGCAGGUUCUGAAAAUGUCUGGGCUCUUAGUAACUUAGUGAUAAUGCGGAAGAGGGAUGAGGAGUGUGAAGAGAUGGGGACACAGGGUCCUUCCCCCACAUAAGAAAUGAAUGUUGAAGAAGGAAAAGCUGACAUGUUAUCUGCUGGAAAAAUUAUACAGAAGAGAUUACUUUAACAUAAUAGAUCUUUUAUCUGUUUUGGAAGAGUUGUGUGGAACCAUCUGCAAUAAAGUUCAUAUCUGAAUGAAA